AGACUUGUAAUUGAACUCAGGGUCUACAGCAUGCUCGGCAUCAAGCUAUAUCCUCUCUGCUGUUGCUUUGAAAAUAUUUCCUGAAUUCAAAUCAUUCUGAACAAAAUCGGUGACUCUAUAGAGGUAUUCAAAAUAAAGGAGCAAUAAAGUUACAUAAG